rnacentral:rRNA from 1 species
AUGCUGGAGGUAUCAGAAGUGCGAAUGCUGACAUAAGUAACGAUAAAGCGGGUGAAAAGCCCGCUCGCCGGAAGACCAAGGGUUCCUGUCCAACGUUAAUCGGGGCAGGGUGAGUCGACCCCUAAGGCGAGGCCGAAAGGCGUAGUCGAUGGGAAACAGGUUAAUAUUCCUGUACUUGGUGUUACUGCGAAGGGGGGACGGAGAAGGCUAUGUUGGCCGGGCGACGGUUGUCCCGGUUUAAGCGUGUAGGCUGGUUUUCCAGGCAAAUCCGGAAAAUCAAGGCUGAGGCGUGAUGACGAGGCACUACGGUGCUGAAGUAACAAAUGCCCUGCUUCCAGGAAAAGCCUCUAAGCAUCAGGUAACAUCAAAUCGUACCCCAAACCGACACAGGUGGUCAGGUAGAGAAUACCAAGGCGCUUGAGAGAACUCGGGUGAAGGAACUAGGCAAAAUGGUGCCGUAACUUCGGGAGAAGGCACGCUGAUAUGUAGGUGAAGUCCCUUGCGGAUGGAGCUGAAAUCAGUCGAAGAUACCAGCUGGCUGCAACUGUUUAUUAAAAACACAGCACUGUGCAAACACGAAAGUGGACGUAUACGGUGUGACGCCUGCCCGGUGCCGGAAGGUUAAUUGAUGGGGUUAGCGGUAACGCGAAGCUCUUGAUCGAAGCCCCGGUAAACGGCGGCCGUAACUAUAACGGUCCUAAGGUAGCGAAAUUCCUUGUCGGGUAAGUUCCGACCUGCACGAAUGGCGUAAUGAUGGCCAGGCUGUCUCCACCCGAGACUCAGUGAAAUUGAACUCGCUGUGAAGAUGCAGUGUACCCGCGGCAAGACGGAAAGACCCCGUGAACCUUUACUAUAGCUUGACACUGAACAUUGAGCCUUGAUGUGUAGGAUAGGUGGGAGGCUUUGAAGUGUGGACGCCAGUCUGCAUGGAGCCGACCUUGAAAUACCACCCUUUAAUGUUUGAUGUUCUAACGUUGGCCCCUGAUCGGGGUUGCGGACAGUGUCUGGUGGGUAGUUUGACUGGGGCGGUCUCCUCCUAAAGAGUAACGGAGGAGCACGAAGGUUGGCUAAUCCUGGUCGGACAUCAGGAGGUUAGUGCAAUGGCAUAAGCCAGCUUGACUGCGAGCGUGACGGCGCGAGCAGGUGCGAAAGCAGGUCAUAGUGAUCCGGUGGUUCUGAAUGGAAGGGCCAUCGCUCAACGGAUAAAAGGUACUCCGGGGAUAACAGGCUGAUACCGCCCAAGAGUUCAUAUCGACGGCGGUGUUUGGCACCUCGAUGUCGGCUCAUCACAUCCUGGGGCUGAAGUAGGUCCCAAGGGUAUGGCUGUUCGCCAUUUAAAGUGGUACGCGAGCUGGGUUUAGAACGUCGUGAGACAGUUCGGUCCCUAUCUGCCGUGGGCGCUGGAGAACUGAGGGGGGCUGCUCCUAGUACGAGAGGACCGGAGUGGACGCAUCACUGGUGUUCGGGUUGUCAUGCCAAUGGCACUGCCCGGUAGCUAAAUGCGGAAGAGAUAAGUGCUGAAAGCAUCUAAGCACGAAACUUGCCCCGAGAUGAGUUCUCCCUGACCCUUUAAGGGUCCUGAAGGAACGUUGAAGACGACGACGUUGAUAGGCCGGGUGUGUAAGCGCAGCGAUGCGUUGAGCUAACCGGUACUAAUGAACCGUGAGGCUUAACCUUACAACGCCGAAG